rnacentral:rRNA from 1 species
UACGUAGGGUGCAAGCGUUAUCCGGAAUUAUUGGGCGUAAAGAGCUCGUAGGCGGUUUGUCGCGUCUGCUGUGAAAACCGGAGGCUCAACCUCCAGCCUGCAGUGGGUACGGGCAGACUAGAGUGCGGUAGGGGAGAUUGGAAUUCCUGGUGUAGCGGUGGAAUGCGCAGAUAUCAGGAGGAACACCAAUGGCGAAGGCAGAUCUCUGGGCCGUAACUGACGCUGAGGAGCGAAAGCAUGGGGAGCGAACAGG